AUGGCUGUCGUCAACUCGUGUCGUGAGAUGUUGGGUUAAGUCCCGCAACGAGCGCAACCCCUACUUUUAGUUGCCACCAUUUAGUUGAGCACUCUAAAAGAACUGCCAGUGAUAAGCUGGAGGAAGGCGGGGAUGACGUCAAGUCCUCAUGGCCCUUACGUGUUGGGCUACACACGUGCUACAAUGGCACUUACAAUGAGAUGCAAAGAGGCGACUCCUAGCAAAUCUCAAAAAGGUGCCUCAGUUCGGAUUGUACUCUGCAACUCGAGUACAUGAAGCUGGAAUUGCUAGUAAUCGCGGAUCAGCGCGCCGCGGUGAAUACGUUCCCGGGUCUUGUACACACCGCCCGUCACACCAUGGAAGUUGGUUACACCUGAAAGCAAAAUGUAAAAAUUUUGACUACGGUACGAUCAGCAACUGGGGUGAAGUCGUAACAAGGUAGCCGUAGGGGAACCUGCGGCUGGAUCACCUCCUUUCUAAGGAAAUCGAAAAAUAUGAAAACAAUUAUUUUCGAUUUAAAAAAAACCGGUAAUGUGACCGUCCUCAUUUCUCUUCUUUUAAUGUCUCUAAGUAAAUCAAGGGGCCGGUAGCUCAGAUGGUUAGAGCGCACCCCUGAUAAGGGUGAGGUCGGAAGUUCGAGUCUUCCUCGGCCCACCAUUAUUACGGGGGAUUAGCUCAGCUGGGAGAGCGCCUGAUUUGCAUUCAGGAGGCCAGCGGUUCGAUCCCGCUAUCCUCCACCAAAAUUUGAGACAUUUAGCUUUUUUAAAUUGUGAAUAUUAUUAUUAUCAAUAUCUAUAUCCGAUUGUUUUCAAUAUUUUUUUUGAAAACAAUCAAAACAAAAAUUUAAUUUAUUACAGAAAAGUUUUUUUCUGUGCAUAAAUCAAGCGUUUAAGGGCGAUUGGCGGAUGCCUUGGCACUGUAAGACGAUGAAGGACGUGGUAUACUGCGAUAAGUUUCGGGGAGCCGUAUGCAGGCUUUGAUCCGAAAAUUUCCGAAUGGGGAAACCCGG
rnacentral:sRNA from 1 species